GAUGAACGCUGGCGGCGUGCCUAAUACAUGCAAGUCGAGCGAACAGAUGAGGAGCUUGCUCCUCUGACGUUAGCGGCGGACGGGUGAGUAACACGUGGAUAACCUACCUAUAAGACUGGGAUAACUUCGGGAAACCGGAGCUAAUACCGGAUAAUAUAUUGAACCGCAUGGUUCAAUAGUGAAAGACGGUUUUGCUGUCACUUAUAGAUGGAUCCGCGCCGCAUUAGCUAGUUGGUAAGGUAACGGCUUACCAAGGCAACGAUGCGUAGCCGACCUGAGAGGGGGGAAGGCCACAGUGAGACUGGGCCAGGGAGCAGACGCAGACGAGAGGAAGAGGUAGGGAUGGGGCCGCAAGUGGCGAAAGCCUGACGUAGAAAAUAAGCGGGAAUGACAAAGGAAUUCGAAUCGUAAAACUUUGUAAGUAGGGAAGAACAAACGCCCAAGUACCGGUGCAAACCGGGACGGGACCUAAUGAGAAAGCGAGGCCUAAAGACGUU
rnacentral:rRNA from 1 species